GGUGAACGCUGGCGGUAGGCCUAACACAUGCAAGUCGAACGGCAGCACAGUAAGAGCUUGCUCUUACGGGUGGCGAGUGGCGGACGGGUGAGGAAUACAUCGGAAUCUACUUUUUCGUGGGGGAUAACGUAGGGAAACUUACGCUAAUACCGCAUACGACCUACGGGUGAAAGCAGGGGAUCUUCGGACCUUGCGCGAUUGAAUGAGCCGAUGUCGGAUUAGCUAGUUGGCGGGGUAAAGGCCCACCAAGGCGACGAUCCGUAGCUGGUCUGAGAGGAUGAUCAGCCACACUGGAACUGAGACACGGUCCAGACUCCUACGGGAGGCAGCAGUGGGGAAUAUUGGACAAUGGGCGCAAGCCUGAUCCAGCCAUACCGCGUGGGUGAAGAAGGCCUUCGGGUUGUAAAGCCCUUUUGUUGGGAAAGAAAAGCAGCAGGUUAAUACCCCGCUGUUCGGACGGUACCCAAAGAAUAAGCACCGGCUAACUUCGU
rnacentral:rRNA from 1 species